CCUACGGGAGGCAGCAGUGGGGAAUCUUCCACAAUGGGGGAAACUCUGAUGCAGCAACGCCGCGUGAGUGAGGAAGUAUUUCGGUACGUAAAGCUCUAUCAUCAGGGAAUAGCAAAGAAGGUACCAGAAAAAGAAGCCCCGGCUAACUACGUGCAAGCAGCCGCGGUAAUACGUAGGGGGCAAGCGUUAUCCGGAUUUACUGGGUGUACAGGGAGCGUAGGCGGAAAGGCAAGUCCGAAGUGAAAACCCCAGGCUCAACCAGGGGGCUUCAUUGGAAAUUGUGAGACUAGAGUACGGAAGAGGAAAGAGGAAUUCCAUGUGUAGCGGUGAAAUGCGUAGAUAUUAGGAGGAACACCAGUGGCGAAGGCGUCUUACUGGUCCGAAACUGACGUUGAGGCUCGAAAGCGUGGGGAGCAAACAGGAUUAGAUACCCGAGUAGUC
rnacentral:rRNA from 1 species